rnacentral:rRNA from 1 species
GUUGUUUAGUUGAAAAUCAAUUAAAUAAUUUUUGAUUUUAAGUAGUAUUGACUUCAUCAGCUUGCUGCUUUCUUUUCGGAAAUUAUUUAAUGCACUUUUCAGUUAACAAGUCAACAUCAAUUUCUUUUGUUGUAAAAGGGUAAGAGGAAGGUGGCUUACAUUUCGGUGUAAGUGUUUAUAGCCUUUUACCUCUGCAAUCGGAGAGAUUGAGGUCAGCAGCGUAGACUCUUCGGGGUUAGAUACGCUUGUGCUAAGCUAUAGCCUUGUAUAGACAACUUGUUGACUAUACUCAGUCAUGUAGCUUACUCGCUUGUAGUAUUUUACCUAC